UUAUGUGUAGGUAGUACAGACACACUUUAUGUGUAGGUAGUACAGACACACUUUAUAUGUAGGUAGUACAGACACACUUUAUAUGUAGGUAGUACAGACACACUUUAUAUGUAGGUAGUACAGACACACUUUAUAUGUAGGUAGUACAGACACACUUUAUAUGUAGGUAGUACAGACACACUUUAUAUGUAGGUAGUACAGACACACUUUAUAUGUAGGUAGUACAGACACACUAUAUGUAGGUAGUACAGACACACUAUAUGUAGGUAGUACAGACACACUAUAUGUAGGUAGUACAGACACACUAUAUGUAGGUAGUACAGACACUUUAUGUGUAGGUAGUACAGACACACUUUAUAUGUAGGUAGUACAGACACACUUUAUAUGUAGGUAGUACAGACACACUUUAUAUGUAGGUAGUACAGACACACUGCUCAUUUGUCACUCUAGUGUUAUCUGCUAAAUUGUAACUAUUCGCUCCUAUGGCCUAUUUAUUGCCUACCUCCUCAUGCCUUUUGCACACACUGUAUAUAGACUCUUUUUCUACUGUGUCAUUGAUUUGUUUAUUGUUUAUUCCAUGUGUAACUGUGUUGUCGUCUGUGUCACACUGCUUUGCUUUAUCUUGGCCAGGUCGCAGUUGCAAAUGAGAACUUAUUCUCAACUGGACUACCUGGUUAAAUAAAGGUGAAAUAAAAAAAAAUAUCUACUAAAAGACAAAUCAUCAACUGUAGCAUCAACUGUAGGGACGAAGCAAAUGAAGCACUGUGUGCCCAAUGACCGUUGUUAAGUUGUCAUAUCAUGGGAUCUUCUGCAAAGUUAAUACAGGCAUUUUAAAAAUCUGGAAUUUCUUAUUAAAGAAAAUUGAAUGAACAGACUUCUUUCAAAGAACACAUUUAGCAUGUAUUGUACAGUAUUUAGACACCACCGCAGGGCAAUAAAGUCAACUCCAAUCAGUCUGCGCCUUUAUGGUUCCAAGUCUAGGAAAACAUUCCUAGAAAACAGGCAACCCUCUCAGGAGCCGGACACAAUCUUCAUGACUUUUCUUAGAAAACAUCAAGACCUCCCUGCACAAUGCCAAUAACAGCGUUUUCUAGGAAUUCCUACAAAGGUUUUGAAGAACAAGUCAGAAGGAGAGUCAACAGGGUGUUUAUGUGCCGUACCCAACUACUAGUGAAAAGUAGGCGCGGCUGGCUGUUUAGCCUCACUAUGUAGGACAGCUGAUCCAAGAACAGUUUCUGCAGUUUUCAAGCGCAGAAAUGAAAUGACCAGAACAUCAUGCACUGUAAGUGU